GUCCGGGAGCUAUGCAAAAAGAGUCUUUCGAACCCCGUCAGAUUCGGAAGAAAGCAGCGGUAGAUUGAUUUAUUUUGUGCCGUAGUUAUCCCGGGCUUU
rnacentral:SRP_RNA from 1 species